GAUGAACGCUGGCGGCGUGCCUAAUACAUGCAAGUCGAGCGAACAGAUGAGGAGCUUGCUCCUCUGACGUUAGCGGCGGACGGGUGAGUAACACGUGGAUAACCUACCUAUAAGACUGGGAUAACUUCGGGAAACCGGAGCUAAUACCGGAUAAUAUAUUGAACCGCAUGGUUCAAUAGUGAAAGACGGUUUUGCUGUCACUUAUAGAUGGAUCCGCGCCGCAUUAGCUAGUUGGUAAGGUAACGGCUUACCAAGGCAACGAUGCGUAGCCGACCUGAGAGGGUGAUCGGCCACACUGGAACUGAGACACGGUCCAGACUCCUACGGGAGGCAGCAGUAGGGAAUCUUCCGCAAUGGGCGAAAGCCUGACGGAGCAACGCCGCGUGAGUGAUGAAGGUCUUCGGAUCGUAAAACGCUGUUAUUAGGGAAGAACAAAUGUGUAAGUAACUAUGCACGUCUUGACGGUACCUAAUCAGAAAGCCACGGCGAACUACGU
rnacentral:rRNA from 1 species